UUGUCACGUACUGCCCAGGCAGAGUGCUUAAUGCGUUAGCUGCAGCACUAAGGGGCGGAAACCCCCUAACACUUAGCACUCAUCGUUUACGGCGUGGACUACCAGGGUAUCUAAUCCUGUUCGCUCCCCACGCUUUCGCUCCUCAGCGUCAGUUACAGACCAGAGAGUCGCCUUCGCCACUGGUGUUCCUCCACAUCUCUACGCAUUUCACCGCUACACGUGGAAUUCCACUCUCCUCUUCUGCACUCAAGUUUCCCAGUUUCCAAUGACCCUCCCCGGUUGAGCCGGGGGCUUUCACAUCAGACUUAAGAAACCGCCUGCGAGCCCUUUACGCCCAAUAAUUCCGGACAACGCUUGCCACCUACGUAUUACCGCGGCUGCUGGCACGUAGUUAGCCGUGGCUUUCUGGUUAGGUACCGUCAAGGUGCGAGCAGUUACUCUCGCACUUGUUCUUCCCUAACAACAGAGCUUUACGAUCCGAAAACCUUCAUCACUCACGCGGCGUUGCUCCGUCAGACUUUCGUCCAUUGCGGAAGAUUCCCUACUGCUGCCUCCCGUAGGAGUCUGGGCCGUGUCUCAGUCCCAGUGUGGCCGAUCACCCUCUCAGGUCGGCUACGCAUCGUCGCCUUGGUGAGCCAUUACCCCACCAACUAGCUAAUGCGCCGCGGGUUCAUCUGUAAGUGACA
rnacentral:rRNA from 1 species